AGAGUUUGAUCCUGGCUCAGAUUGAACGCUGGCGGCAUGCCUUACACAUGCAAGUCGAACGGCAGCGCGGACUUCGGUCUGGCGGCGAGUGGCGAACGGGUGAGUAAUACAUCGGAACGUACCCUGUUGUGGGGGAUAACUAGUCGAAAGAUUAGCUAAUACCGCAUACGACCUGAGGGUGAAAGUGGGGGACCGCAAGGCCUCACGCAGCAGGAGCGGCCGAUGUCUGAUUAGCUAGUUGGUGGGGUAAAGGCCCACCAAGGCGACGAUCAGUAGCUGGUCUGAGAGGACGAUCAGCCACACUGGGACUGAGACACGGCCCAGACUCCUACGGGAGGCAGCAG
rnacentral:rRNA from 1 species